rnacentral:rRNA from 1 species
ACGUAGUUGGCCGCACCUUCUUCUGCAGGUACCGUCAUUUUCUUCCCUGCUGAAAGCGGUUUACAACUCUAGGGCCGUCUUCCCGCACGCGGCGUUGCUGCAUCAGGCUUUCGCCCAUUGUGCAAGAUUCCUU